rnacentral:rRNA from 1 species
GGGUUGUGAGGUUAAGCGACUAAGCGUACACGGUGGAUGCCCUGGCAGUCAGAGGCGAUGAAGGACGUGCUAAUCUGCGAAAAGCGCCGGCGAGGUGAUAUGAACCUUUGACCCGGCGAUGUCCGAAUGGGGAAACCCAGUGUGAUUCGUCACACUAUCGUUAACUGAAUACAUAGGUUAACGAGGCGAACCGGGGGAACUGAAACAUCUAAGUACCCCGAGGAAAAGAAAUCAACCGAGAUUCCCCCAGUAGCGGCGAGCGAACGGGGAGCAGCCCAGAGUCUGAAUCAGCUUGUGUGUUAGUGGAAGCGUCUGGAAAGUCGCACGGUACAGGGUGACAGUCCCGUACACGAAAGCACACAGGCUGUGAACUCGAAGAGUAGGGCGGGACACGUGGUAUCCUGUCUGAAUAUGGGGGGACCAUCCUCCAAGGCUAAAUACUCCUGACUGACCGAUAGUGAACCAGUACCGUGAGGGAAAGGCGAAAAGAACCCCGGCGAGGGGAGUGAAAAAGAACCUGAAACCGUGUACGUACAAGCAGUGGGAGCCUCUUUUAUGGGGUGACUGCGUACCUUUUGUAUAAUGGGUCAGCGACUUAUAUUCUGUAGCAAGGUUAACCGUAUAGGGGAGCCGAAGGGAAACCGAGUCUUAACUGGGCGUUAAGUUGCAGGGUAUAGACCCGAAACCCGGUGAUCUAGCCAUGGGCAGGUUGAAGGUUGGGUAACACUAACUGGAGGACCGAACCGACUAAUGUUGAAAAAUUAGCGGAUGACUUGUGGCUGGGGGUGAAAGGCCAAUCAAACCGGGAGAUAGCUGGUUCUCCCCGAAAGCUAUUUAGGUAGCGCCUCGUGAACUCAUCUUCGGGGGUAGAGCACUGUUUCGGCUAGGGGGCCAUCCCGGCUUACCAACCCGAUGCAAACUACGAAUACCGAAGAAUGUUAUCACGGGAGACACACGGCGGGUGCUAACGUCCGUCGUGAAGAGGGAAACAACCCAGACCGCCAGCUAAGGUCCCAAAGUCAUGGUUAAGUGGGAAACGAUGUGGGAAGGCACAGACAGCCAGGAUGUUGGCUUAGAAGCAGCCAUCAUUUAAAGAAAGCGUAAUAGCUCACUGGUCGAGUCGGCCUGCGCGGAAGAUGUAACGGGGCUAAACCAUGCACCGAAGCUGCGGCAGCGACGCUUAUGCGUUGUUGGGUAGGGGAGCGUUCUGUAAGCCGUUGAAGGUGUCCUGUGAGGGGUGCUGGAGGUAUCAGAAGUGCGAAUGCUGACAUAAGUAACGAUAAAGCGGGUGAAAAGCCCGCUCGCCGGAAGACCAAGGGUUCCUGUCCAACGUUAAUCGGGGCAGGGUGAGUCGACCCCUAAGGCGAGGCCGAAAGGCGUAGUCGAUGGGAAACAGGUUAAUAUUCCUGUACUUGGUGUUACUGCGAAGGGGGGACGGAGAAGGCUAUGUUAGCCGGGCGACGGUUGUCCCGGUUUAAGCAUGUAGGCGGAGGUUCCAGGUAAAUCCGGUUCCUUGUUAACGCUGAGGUGUGAUGACGAGGCACUACGGUGCUGAAGUAACAAAUGCCCUGCUUCCAGGAAAAGCCUCUAAGCAUCAGGUAACAUCAAAUCGUACCCCAAACCGACACAGGUGGUCAGGUAGAGAAUACCAAGGCGCUUGAGAGAACUCGGGUGAAGGAACUAGGCAAAAUGGUGCCGUAACUUCGGGAGAAGGCACGCUGAUAUGUAGGUGAAGCCCCUGCGGGUGGAGCUGAAAUCAGUCGAAGAUACCAGCUGGCUGCAACUGUUUAUUAAAAACACAGCACUGUGCAAACACGAAAGUGGACGUAUACGGUGUGACGCCUGCCCGGUGCCGGAAGGUUAAUUGAUGGGGUUAGCGGUAACGCGAAGCUCUUGAUCGAAGCCCCGGUAAACGGCGGCCGUAACUAUAACGGUCCUAAGGUAGCGAAAUUCCUUGUCGGGUAAGUUCCGACCUGCACGAAUGGCGUAAUGAUGGCCAGGCUGUCUCCACCCGAGACUCAGUGAAAUUGAACUCGCUGUGAAGAUGCAGUGUACCCGCGGCAAGACGGAAAGACCCCGUGAACCUUUACUAUAGCUUGACACUGAACACUGGUCCUUGAUGUGUAGGAUAGGUGGGAGGCUUUGAAGCGUGGACGCCAGUCUGCGUGGAGCCAACCUUGAAAUACCACCCUUUAAUGGCUGGUGUUCUAACGUAGACCCGUGAUCCGGGUUGCGGACAGUGUCUGGUGGGUAGUUUGACUGGGGCGGUCUCCUCCCAAAGAGUAACGGAGGAGCACGAAGGUUAGCUAAUCCUGGUCGGACAUCAGGAGGUUAGUGCAAUGGCAUAAGCUAGCUUGACUGCGAGAGUGACGGCUCGAGCAGGUGCGAAAGCAGGUCAUAGUGAUCCGGUGGUUCUGAAUGGAAGGGCCAUCGCUCAACGGAUAAAAGGUACUCCGGGGAUAACAGGCUGAUACCGCCCAAGAGUUCAUAUCGACGGCGGUGUUUGGCACCUCGAUGUCGGCUCAUCACAUCCUGGGGCUGAAGUAGGUCCCAAGGGUAUGGCUGUUCGCCAUUUAAAGUGGUACGCGAGCUGGGUUUAGAACGUCGUGAGACAGUUCGGUCCCUAUCUGCCGUGGGCGCUGGAGAAUUGAGGGGGGCUGCUCCUAGUACGAGAGGACCGGAGUGGACGCAUCACUGGUGUUCGGGUUGUCAUGCCAAUGGCACUGCCCGGUAGCUAAAUGCGGAAGAGAUAAGUGCUGAAAGCAUCUAAGCACGAAACUUGCCCCGAGAUGAGUUCUCCCUGAGACUUUAAGUCUCCUGAAGGAACGUUGAAGACUACGACGUUGAUAGGUCGGGUGUGUAAGCGCAGCGAUGCGUUGAGCUAACCGAUACUAAUGAACCGUGAGGCUUAACCUUACAACGCCGAAGGUGUUU